AACGAACGCUGGCGGCAGGCCUAACACAUGCAAGUCGAGCGAGGUAGCAAUACCUAGCGGCGGACGGGUGAGUAACGCGUGGGAACGUGCCCUUUGCUACGGAAUAGCCCUGGGAAACUGGGAGUAGUACCGUAUGUGCCCUUCGGGGGAAAGAUUUAUCGGCAAAGGAUCGGCCCGCGUGGAUUAGGUAGUUGGUGGGGUAAUGGCCUACCAAGCCGACGAUCCAUAGCUGGUUUGAGAGGAUGAUCAGCCACACUGGGACUGAGACACGGCCCAGACUCCUACGGGAGGCAGCAGUGGGGAAUCUUAGACAAUGGGCGCAAGCCUGAUCUAGCCAUGCCGCGUGAGCGAUGAAGGCCUUAGGGUUGUAAAGCUCUUUCGUGGGGGAAGAUAAUGACUGUACCCCAAGAAGAAGCCCCGGCUAACUCCGUGCCAGCCGCCGCCGUAAUAC
rnacentral:rRNA from 1 species